rnacentral:rRNA from 1 species
GACGAACGCUGGCGGCGUGCUUAACACAUGCAAGUCGAACGGAAAGGCUCCAGCUUGCUGGAGUACUCGAGUGGCGAACGGGUGAGUAACACGUGGGUAAUCUGCCCUGCACUCUGGGAUAAGCCUGGGAAACUGGGUCUAAUACUGGAUAUGACCUUUCUCCUUAUGGGGUUUGGUGGAAAGUUUUUCGGUGUAGGAUGAGCCCGCGGCCUAUCAGCUUGUUGGUGGGGUGAUGGCCUACCAAGGCGACGACGGGUAGCCGGCCCGAGAGGGUGAUCGGCCACAUUGGGACUGAGAUACGGCCCAGACUCCUACGGGAGGCAGCAGUGGGGAAUAUUGCACAAUGGGCGGAAGCCUGAUGCAGCGACGCCGCGUGAGGGAUGACGGCCUUCGGGUUGUAAACCUCUUUCAGCAGGGACGAAGCGUAAGUGACGGUACCUGCAGAAGAAGCACCGGCUGACUAUGUG